GUAUCUGCAAGCUUUUUGGAGACAUCUGAUAAAAUUUUAACGAAACAGAGAGAAAGAUUAGCAUAGCCCUUGCGCAAGAAUGACAUGCGCAAAUCAUGGGCAAUGUUGACCAAGACUU